rnacentral:rRNA from 1 species
UACGUAGGGGGCAAGCGUUGUCCGGAAUCAUUGGGCGUAAAGCGCGCGUAGGCGGCCCGGUAAGUCCGUUGUGAAAGUCAAGGGCUCAACCCUCGAAUGCCGGUGGAUACUGUCGGGCUUGAGUACGGGAGAGGCGAGUGGAAUUCCUGGUGUAGCGGUGAAAUGCGCAGAUAUCAGGAGGAACACCGAUUGCGAAGGCAGCUCGCUGGAACGUUACUGACGCUGAGACGCGAAAGCGUGGGGAGCAAACAGG